AAGGGUAGAGUAUAAGAAAAUCUUAAACAGAAGAUAGAAGAAAAUUUGCAUCAAGAAAAGAGUAGGCAUCAAUUCUACCAAGAAUCCUUUUUUUUUUUUUUUUUUUUUUUUCCUACAGGAAUCGAGACCAUUGGAGGUUGAGGUUGUGUGAGUUUUAAUCAUUUUAGCAUUAUUAUUAUUUGAGUUUAAAUCUUUACAAUUAAUUACAAAAUUUUAAAUGUUCUUUUUUUAGGUUUGAACAUAAUUUUGACGGAAUGGAUCAAAUUUGUUAACAGAUACAAACACAGGGACUAAAUUGGCCAAAUUAAUAACACAAGGACUAAAUUGGCUGAUAAGGUAAA
rnacentral:lncRNA from 1 species